UGGGGAAUAUUGGGCAAUGGGGGCAACCCUGACCCAGCGACGCCGCGUGGGGGGAGACGGCCUUCGGGUUGUAAACCUCUUUUGUACGGGAAGAAGGAAGUGACGGUACUGUACGAAUAAGUCCCGGCUAACUACGUGCCAGCAGCCGCGGUAAUACGUAGGGGACGAGCGUUGUCCGGAAUUACUGGGCGUAAAGGGCGCGCAGGCUGUGCUGCAAGUCAGCUGUUAAAUGUCUGGGCUUAACCCGGGCAUGCGGUUGAGACUGCGGUGCUGGAGUGCUGUAGAGGCAAGUGGAAUUCCCAGUGUAGCGGUGAAAUGCGUAGAUAUUGGGAAGAACACCGGUUGCGAAGGCGACUUGCUGGGCAGCAACUGACGCUGAGGCGCGAAAGCCAGGGGAGCAAACG
rnacentral:rRNA from 1 species